rnacentral:rRNA from 1 species
UAACGAAUCUUCCGCAAUGCACGAAAGUGUGACGGAGCGACGCCGCGUGUAGGACGAAGCCCUUCGGGGUGUAAACUACUGUCAGGGGUUAGAAAGUUCUGAUCAACCCCAGAGGAAGGCACGGCUAACUCUGUGCCAGCAGCCGCGGUAAGACAGAGGUGCCAAGCGUUAGGCGGAAUCACUGGGCUUAAAGCGUGUGUAGGCGGAUCGUUAAGUACCUUGUGAAAUCCCACGGCUCAACCGUGGAACUGCUCGGUAUACUGGCGAUCUUGAGCCAUCUAGGGGUCGCCGGAACAAAUGGUGGAGCGGUGAAAUGCGUAGAUAUCAUUUGGAACGCCAAAGGUGAAAACAGGCGACUGGGGAUGUGCUGACGCUGAGACACGAAAGCCAGGGGAGCGAACGGGAUUAGAUACCCCCGUAGUCC